rnacentral:rRNA from 1 species
UGCCAGCCGCCGCGGUAACACGGGGGGCGCAAGCGUUAUUCGGAAUUAUUGGGCGUAAAGGGUGCGCAGGCGGAACUUUAAGUCAGUGGUGAAAGGUAUCAGCUUAACUGAUGACGUGCCAUUGAAACUGAUAGGCUUGAGUACAGACGAGGUAGGCGGAAUUUAUGGUGUAGCGGUGAAAUGCAUAGAUACCAUAAAGAACACCGAUAGCGAAGGCAGAUUACUAGGCUGAGACUGACGCUGAGGCACGAAAGCGUGGGGAGCGAACAGGAUUAGAUA